rnacentral:piRNA from 1 species
UGAAGUCGGGAUUUGCUGGGAAGCACACAGU